GCACAGGUGGUUCAGUGGUAGAAUUCUCGCCUUCUGUGUGGGAGACCAGGUUAGAAUCCCAACCAAUGCA
rnacentral:tRNA from 1 species